CUUAGUUAUAUUACAGGUUGGAUAUCACUUGAAGAGUUGUCUCUUAGUUAGCUGUCAUUUAUUUAAGCCACCCCCUAAUUCCCGACAGCCUUAGCCAGCACACUGGACCCCAGGGAAGCCACCCUCCUGCACCUAAAUGUAGGGAACUUCAUGGUAGCUGUAAAAGUGUAAAUUUAACCUGCAUGUGUGUCUGUGUGUGUAUCU